rnacentral:rRNA from 1 species
CCUACGGGGGGCAGCAGUGAGGAAUAUUGGUCAAUGGACGAGAGUCUGAACCAGCCAAGUAGCGUGAAGGAUGACUGCCCUAUGGGUUGUAAACUUCUUUUAUAAAGGAAUAAAACGAGGCACGUGUGCCUUUUUGCAUGUACUUUAUGAAUAAGGAUCGGCUAACUCCGUGCCAGCAGCCGCGGUAAUACGGAUGAUCCGAGCGUUAGCCGGUUUGAUUGGGUUUAAAGGGAGCGGAGAUGGGUUGUUAAGUCAGUUGUGAAAGUUUGCGGCGCAACCGUAAAAUUGCAAUUGAUACUGGCAGUCGUGAGUACAGUUGAGGUAGGCGGAAUUCGUGGUGUAGCGGUGAAAUGCUUAGAUAGCACGAAGAACCCCGAGUGCGAAGGCAGCUUACUAAACUGUGACUGACAUUGAUGCUCGAAAGUGUGGGUAUCAAACAGGAUUAGAUACCCCUGUAGUC